rnacentral:misc_RNA from 1 species
AAAUGCGAUAAUUAAUGUGAAUUGCAGAAUUCAGUGAAUCAUCGAGUCUUUGAACGCACAUUGCGCCCCCUGGUAUUCCGGGGGGCAUGCCUGUCCGAGCGUCAUUGCUGCCCUCAAGCACGGCUUGUGUGUUGGGCUUCCGUCCCUGGCAACGGGGACGGGCCCAAAAGGCAGUGGCGGCACCAUGUCUGGUCCUCGAGCGUAUGGGGCUUUGUCACCCGCUCCCGUAGGUCCAGCUGGCAGCUAGCCUCGCAACCAAUCUUUUUAACCAGGUUGACCUCGGAUCAAGUAGGGAUACCCGCUGAACUUAAGC